CUUAUAGUAGCUCCAUGUAGAUUGUAUCAAAGUCUUACUAAAGUCAAGAUAUACCACAUCUACCGCUUCUCACCUCAUCCACAAGGCUGUUACCCUGUGAAAGAAAACUCUCAGGUUGGUUUACAUGAUUUGUCCUUGGCAAAUCCAUGUGA